AGAGAGAGAGAGCAAGAGAGAGAGAGAGAGAGAGGGAGAGAGAGAGGGAGGGAGGGAGAGAGAGAUAGAGAGAGAGGGAGAGAGAGACAGAUAAAACACCUGGCCAUAUAUUUACUGGCCUGUGGAAAUUCACAGUCGAAGUUUUAAGAGUCUUUAAAUCCUCUGAAGGUUCAUUCGACUCCAGGAGGGAUAUAACUGCGCUAUCACUCCGCGCCGCAUCACCGUGAGACUGUCUGCGUUCAUGAGCGGAAGGAAAAGUAGUUCCUCCUAGUUGGAGUUGGUCUGUUUAUGAUCUGUGGGGUUUGUGUGGUGAAGGAUCCGCCCAGCUGGACUUCGCUCUGUGCUUCACUUCCUGAAGGGAAACCGAUAGUAACUCUCCGGCGUGACGCGCGUUCAGAGCGAGCAGAAGAGCGGAGAUAAGCGGGUUUAUCCUCCUGCAGGGAUUCCUGUUGUAGUCGAGCCAUGCAGUCCUGCAGUUCAGCUCUCUGUGUCCUGAUCUUACUGAUCACCACAUUCACUGCUGUGUAUGUGUCAGCUGUUCCUCUAGUGAAGGUGAAGCUUCAUGACUCUGCUACUCUGCCCUGCUCUGAGACAUGUUCUGGUUUGGUCAGAUGGACUGAGUUCCAUAAUCCCACUGAUGUUCUGGCUGAGUGUGAUCAGACUUCAUGUAGAUCAGUGAAGGAGGGAUAUCAGAUGAUCCAUGAUCAGUACCUGAAGGGAGAUCUCUCUCUCACCAUCACUGACGCUGAUUACAGUAUGAUGGGCACGUACACAUGUGAGUGCGGUAAUUCUGAACUCUGUGAUGUGCGGCUUCAGGUUGAGGAAACACCAGAGGCAGGGAACAAUAUUUCUGGCAGCAGUCAUACUAAAGGAACGUCCCACGUGUAUGUGUCAGCUGUUCCUCUAGUGAGGGUGAAGCUUCAUGACUCUGCUACUCUGCCCUGCUCUGAGACAUGUUCUGGUUUGGUCAGAUGGACUGAGUUCCAUAAUCCCACUGAUGUUCUGGCUGAGUGUGAUCAGACCUCAUGUAGAUCAGUGAAGGAGGGAUAUCAGAUGAUCCAUGAUCAGUACCUGAAGGGAGAUUUCUCUCUCACCAUCACUGACGCUGAUUACAGUAUGAUGGGCACGUACACAUGUGAGUGCGGUAAUUCUGAACUCUGUGAUGUGCGGCUUCAGGUUGAGGAAACACCAGAGGCAGGGAACAAUAUUUCUGGCAGCAGUCAUACUAAAGGAACGUCCCACGGUAAGAUCUGUCCAGUUACAAAACACUAGCAGGGCCAGUUCUAGCAUUUUUGGGAGGCCUAGGCAGGUUUUUUUUUUUUUUUUGUGGGGGGGGGGGGGCGGGGGUAUCUUGCUUGCUGAUGCACUGUAAAAGUGGAAGCUAACUCAUAACAACGAUUACCACCAGCUGUGUAAAUUACGUACAUUUGUAAGUAGCUAAUUGUGUAAUUCUGAUUACUGGAUGCUAGUUUGGGGUUUUAAUAUGUUACCAUUUAAAUUACAGCUAACCUUCUAAAGAUUUAGAGCCAGUAAUUCUCAGUCUGUAAACAGUUUUACAGCCCAUCUUGUUUGCUGAACUGUAUUCUAAUCGUGUUGUUGUCCACUUGCUCAGGAUCAGUACAGCAGGUUGGGAAUCUGGUGUGGUUCUGUGGCCACUUUUCUUCAGUAUCUGAUUAAACGGACCUAAUUUCAAAUACUAUCUCAUAAAAGUCAUCUAACGUGUCAGUUUUAUGUUUUUCAUUGUACUAAAGUGGAAACUUAGUAACCUAAUAAUUACCUGCAGCGUAAAGACACUUCAAAU
ensembl:lncRNA